GGCUAGGUGAUGCCCCAAGGGGGCCUCCUCUGGGAGGUCCCUUGGAGGCCUGCGAAGAAAGAGAGAUGGGCCAGACCCUGGGAUCAAAGAGACAGAGCUGAACCUCGGGGCAGCAGAGCUUGCCUGCCACUUGCCGGCUGUGGAGGCUUGGAUCCACCGUGUGGAAAGCCCUGAGAACGCCAUGGCUAGAAUCCAUCUCCCGGGAGCACCCAGGCUCCAGAGGAAGAAGCUGGACUCCACCGAUGUUCAUCCCCUAGAUGCGCUGUAACAAGGCUCCCAGAAGGUCAAGGCCAGAACUCCGGGCCUGGGCUGCCUCGCUCUGACCACAUUUCCAAGCACAAAUUGCACCCUGACCCCGUCGUCCCCAAACCCUACAUGCUGGGAGAUGGAGUCACGUCAAGGCCAUGAUAUGUGGACCAGCCUUUCCAUCACUGAACCUCCAAUGGAGGACCGGUCCCCCCUUUUUAAAUAAUUAAAUCAAUUUCCAAACUACCUUUGAAAAUGAAAGUGA
ensembl:lncRNA